GGCAGGAAUAUCGCAUGCCUCAGCAAACUUCAACAUGUUCGGGAAAAUCUCUUCUUUUGAUGGGUUCCCUAGAUAUGUAUGUGCCCUGUUGGAAUGAUAGAAUCUAUCUUCCCAUUGAACAACCAUACCCAAAUGUUGAUUGUUCAAUAGCAUGAUCUUCACAGGCAGGUUCUCUGUUCUUAUCGUCGCCAAUUCUUGGACAUUCAUGAUGAAACUUCCAUCCCCAUCGACGUCUACCACCAGAGCAUUUGGUCUUGCAAGGGCAGCACCCAUAGCAGCAGGCAAGCCAAACCCCAUAGCACCUAGACCACCAGAUGUUAGCCACUGACGAGGCCUUUUGUACUUGUAAAAUUGGGCAGACCACAUUUGGUGCUGCCCAACACCAGUGCUAAUAACAGCAUUGCCAUUAGUUAAUUCGUCCAGAACUUGAAUUGCAUACUGCGGAGGAAUUGCUUCGCCAAAAUUUUUAUAGCUUAACGGAUAUUUUGCUUUCUGUUCAUUAAUUUCCUUUCUCCAAGCAGAGAAAUCAAGCAUAGACUUGGCUCCCUUCUUCUCCAGCAACCUAUUCAACCCUUUCAAAGCAAUCUUCAAAUCAGAACAGAGUGAAACGUGAGGCUGCUUGUUCUUCCCCAAUUCAGCUGAAUCAAUGUCAAUGUGAACUAUGCUUGCUCUGCUAGCAAAAGCCUCGACUUUACCCGUCACGCGAUCAUCAAAUCUAACUCCAAACGCGAGCAGCAAAUCCGAUUGAUCUAUUGCAUAAUUUGCAUACAUAGUCCCAUGCAUUCCCAGCAUGUGUAGCGACAGCUCGUCGCCUAAGGGGAAACUGCCGAGACCCAUUAGAGUACUCGCCACUGGUAUCUUGGUAAGCUCAACAAAUCGCCUUAGCUCCUCACUACAGUUCAAAGAUCCACCACCAACAUACAGUACGGGUUUCUUGGACUGAAAGAUCAGCCUAGCAAUCUGCUCCAAUUUUCCAAUUUCUGGGCUUUUAGGCAGUCUUGAUGUAUACCCAGGAAGCCUCAUAGGCAUGUCCCAGUUUGGAAUAAUAAGCUGUUGCUGGACAUCCUUUGGUAUAUCAAUAAGAACUGGCCCAGGCCUGCCAGAAGAAGCAAGAUAAAAAGCUUCUUUGACAAUGCGAGGAAUGUCCUCAGCAUCAAGAACCAUAAAAUUGUGCUUAGUAAUGGAUCUUGUUACUUCAACAAUCGGCGUUUCUUGGAAUGCAUC
rnacentral:misc_RNA from 1 species